AUACGGGGGGUGCAAGCGUUAUUCGGAAUUAUUGGGCGUAAAGGGCGCGUAGGCGGUCUUGUCGGUCAGAUGUGAAAGCCCGGGGCUCAACCCUGGAAGUGCGUUUGAAACAGCAAGACUUGAGUACGGGAGAGGAGAGCGGAAUUCCUGGUGUAGAGGUGAAAUUCGUAGAUAUCAGGAGGAACACCGAUGGCGAAGGCAGCUCUCUGGACCGAUACUGACGCUGAGGCGCGAAGGCGUGGGUAGCGAACAGGAUUAGAAACCCUAGUAGUCC
rnacentral:rRNA from 1 species